UACGUAGGGUGCGAGCGUUGUCCGGAAUUACUGGGCGUAAAGAGCUCGUAGGUGGUUUGUCGCGUUGUUCGUGAAAACUCACAGCUUAACUGUGGGCGUGCGGGCGAUACGGGCAGACUGGAGUACUGCAGGGGAGACUGGAAUUCCUGGUGUAGCGGUGGAAUGCGCAGAUAUCAGGAGGAACACCGGUGGCGAAGGCGGAUCUCUGGGCCUUACCUGACGCUCAGGUGCGAAAGCUAGGGGAGCGAACAGG
rnacentral:rRNA from 1 species